rnacentral:rRNA from 1 species
UGACCUACCUUUCAGUGAGGAAUACCGGCGAGAAAUCGCCGACAAGACCGCAUGAGCUUCCCUCGGUCGACGGGGGAAGGAAAGCUCUUUUCGUAAGGAGAGGGCGCUGGAAGAUGGGCCUGUGGCCGAUUAGCUAGUUGGUGAGGUAAUGGCUCACCAAGGCGACGAUCGGUAGCUGGUCUGAGAGGACGAUCAGCCACACUGGGAUUGAGAACGGCCCAG